rnacentral:rRNA from 1 species
GAGUUUGAUCGUGGCUCAGAACGAACGCUGGCGGCAGGCUUAACACAUGCAAGUCGAACGAUGUAGCAAUACAUAGUGGCGCACGGGUGAGUAAUACAUGGGAACGUGCCUUGGAGUCUGGAAUAACAGCGGGAAACUGCUGCUAAUACCGGAUAUUCUCUACGGAGGAAAGAUUUAUCGCUCCAAGAUCGGCCCAUGCCAGAUUAGCUAGUUGGUGAGGUAAUGGCUCACCAAGGCUACGAUCUGUAGCUGUUCUGAGAGGACGACCAGCCACACUGGGACUGAGACACGGCCCAGACUCCUACGGGAGGCAGCAGUGGGGAAUUUUGGACAAUGGGCGCAAGCCUGAUCCAGCCAUGCCGCGUGCAGGAUGAAGGCCUUCGGUUGUAAC